ensembl:lncRNA
CAACAAGCGACUGCGCCAUCUACUUAUUUUCUGACAUUUUACGAAUUUUUUUGUUUUAUUUUCGAAAGAAAUUCCAAGUAUGUGAGAGGAAUAUGAAUGUAGAAGAAGAAUGCAGCGAACAGUAUUUCUGAAUGGCGUUAUAUAGGGAGCAAAUAAACUGCUGACUUGUUACAUUUUAUGUGCAUUUUAACUGAAGAUGUGUUAAAAAAAACGAAAACCCUUCGGAUCACAGCGUGUCUGCAGGACUGAGGCUGUAAUUAUCAGGGAGGAAAAAGAAACAUUAAUUGUUUUAAGAUGUAAGAUAGAAGAAAGGAGAGGAAGAUGAGGGUUAUCUUGACAGGUGCAGCUUCGAUAAACAAUGUGGGACAGCUGCACAGCUACACCACAUCCUCUGGUGUUCACGGUCAGGGGAGAUCAGAGGUCGCAGUUUAGUUUAAAUAAACUGAGUGAACCUGCAGUUGCUACACUGGCCGGAAAACAGCUGUGAUGGCUCAUCUAACAUCUGGUUUGUUUGUUUGCUCUUGGAAAGGUUGCUUUCAUAAAUCCAUCAUUUAUCCAGGUAAAAGUGUCACUGAC